rnacentral:rRNA from 1 species
GUGGGGAAUUUUGGACAAUGGGCGCAAGCCUGAUCCAGCAAUGCCGCGUGCAGGAAGAAGGCCUUCGGGUUGUAAACUGCUUUUGUACGGAACGAAAAGGCUCUGGUUAAUACCUGGGGCUCAUGACGGUACCGUAAGAAUAAGCACCGGCUAACUACGUGCCAGCAGCCGCGGUAAUACGUAGGGUGCAAGCGUUAAUCGGAAUUACUGGGCGUAAAGCGUGCGCAGGCGGUUUUGUAAGACAGGCGUGAAAUCCCCGGGCUCAACCUGGGAAUGGCGCUUGUGACUGCAAGGCUGGAGUGCGGCAGAGGGGGAUGGAAUUCCGCGUGUAGCAGUGAAAUGCGUAGAUAUGCGGAGGAACACCGAUGGCGAAGGCAAUCCCCUGGGCCUGCACUGACGCUCAUGCACGAAAGCGUGGGGAGCAAACAGGAUUAGAUACCCCAGUAGUCC